rnacentral:lncRNA from 1 species
UAUAUCUUCUUGGAGAGAAACGGCAGCUGGAGGAAAACAAGGGGCUGCCUAAGCUAAUUUUCAGAAAUAUAUCCCACACACAAUUGGGCAGCAAAUUGGGGGUCAACAUCUACACAUACGAGCUGCUGAAUUUGGAAAAAAAUAAUAAUCUUCUUGGUGAAAUUAAUAAGGAGCAGCUUGGAAAUUCUUGAGAAUUAUUUUGGUGAGAUAAAUUAACCAGCUGCUUACUUAGAGAUUAUAUACAAACAUAGGCAGAUUUUUGGGAAAGAGACUGCACGCCAACUUGGAGGGAAGAGAUACAGGAGCACACCAAAAUUGGGGGGGCUGAAUUUGGAGUAAAAAGGAGUCUUGGGAGUCAAACAUUGGGCUGCGUGUUCUAUACAAAUAUUUACACAAACAUUGGCAAAACAUUGGAGAAAGAAAUUGAGUGCCAAUUGGGAAUUACAAACACGUUGCCGGCGGUAACUGGAGAUACAUAUAACUUGUGGUAGCAAAGUGAUAUGUAUAUAUACACUCAUAUAGGAGCCGAAAAAAGGGAAAAUCCACGUAAACGCGUAGAAGUCGAGAGGGAUUAAUCGCGUUCCUUUAAUUUUUGGUGAUCUCCUUCCUCUUUUAUAUGUUUAAUUCCAACAUUAUGCUAGGCUAAGGCUUUUC